ACCAGCUCUAAGUGACUGUGACUCUUGAAGUUCCAGAGCAUCUUGCUUCUCUUCAUGGAAUCGUGGCUUAUCCUACACUAAAGCCAAGAUCUAGAAUCAUGCCUCCGAGUUCCAAGUGCCUCACCAUUGCAAGGGAUACCAUAAAGAAUUCAAUUACUGCUCUCUGGUGUGAAUCACCCAAGGAUUCCAAGUGAUUUGCCUAUUGAUUCUCUGCAUUUGGCAACAACCUCUCUGCUCUGUGGGAUGUGAUUUUAACUUCAAACCUUAUCACAGGGAAUCUACUAUUUUGUUUAAAAGACCCAUGAAUUCAUAAAAUUGGAUAAUACUGCCCUGGAACACACAAUCCCAGACCCCUUUCUGGCCAAAGGAAAAAAAAUUCGUCUCAGCUGUCCCCUCAGGAAUACAGCUGUGUCAUCGCAUACCGUGGCAUCCUAAUAUUUCAUACUAAGCUUUAAACCAAUUAGGAAUGACUACUGACUGUGCUGACUCAUGGGAAGAGAAGGGGAUAAUGUGUCCUUCAGACAGUUCAUAAUUUCCUCUGCUGAACAAAUGGUGAUUUGUGAGCAAAGUAAGACACGGACUGGGGUUGGAACUUCUUGGACCUCCCCAUCCUGGGGCCCAGAGCCCUUGAGACUCUACCAGCUAUCUUGGGAUAAGCCUAGGAAACUUCUGGACCAGUUGCUUCCCAAAGAUCCUGCUAACUGACACUUCCAAAUCUGCUUUGUCUGGAUAUGGAGCACACCCAGAGUAAUUCGUCUGCUUUAAUUUGUGAGCCCUGGGAACUGAGUCACUGGUAAAUUUUCUUUUGCCAUGGUGGCUGGCUCUCAAACUACUGGUGUACUUAGGGCAAGGGUAUGGAACACUAAGGCAUGCAUUUUGGAUUAACCACAUUUUAUGUUCCCAUCAUUCAUUUUUUUUCCUCUACUUCUGAGGCAUGUAACCGGGCAUUUGACACAAUUCUGAAAACCACCUGAACUCUCUUUUUUUGAGUAAGGUGGGUUAGGAAAUGAGCCAGUCAACACAUAAAACUAAAUAUUUUUUUAAAAAAUAUUUAUUUAUUUAUUUAUUUAUUUAUUUAUUUAUUUAUUUAAGAGGGGGGAAGCAU